ensembl:lncRNA
CCUGCGCAUGCCCAGAGUUCUCCCUCGCCAAACCCACGCGGGAGCCAGGAGCUGGGCUAACAGCAUCUCCUCCAAAUACUUCCAAUGGGGCAAUUGGCAAACUGAGGCCAGAGAGGCAGGAACUGGCCUGAGGCCACGACGUGGGCCGAGUCCAGAGGAGCUGGGAAGAUUCCACUUCUAGCCCCAUGUGAAAAAUGGAUCCGCCCUGAACCUGGAUGAGUCCCUCAGGGUGAGGGAGGUCACAGCAGACCCCCUGGAGAAGCCGCUGGAGCACCUGGUGCCGCCUUCCGGGCCAGCGACCUCUCCUAUGUCACCAGCUUCCUGUACACCUACCGAGCCUUCACUCCUGCCCAGCAGGCCCUGGAGCUGCUGUUCAAGAGUGCCAUCUCCUCCAUCCUGGGCACCCGGCUGGACCAGUACUCAGAGGACUUCUGUCAGCCCCCCGACUUUCCCUGCCUCAGGCAGCUGGUGGCCUAUGUGCAGCUCAACAUGCCUGGCUCCUGGCCCAGCUGGAGCACGCGGCCCUCGGCGAGGCAGAGCCGGAGGGUCCAGCGUCACUUCCAGAAGCAGAGGUGGCUGCAACCCCCGUCUGUCGGAGGAGCCAUGUGCCGGAGCCGAGAGGUCCAGGCGGCCCCAGGGCCUGCGUCCGCCUUCAGCUCGAGCGCUCCCCCUACCGGCGGCUCCAGAGCGGCGCCGACACCAGCGCGGGUUCCAUUAGCACCUCCGGAGUGAGAGGAGGAGGCCGCUCAGGUCCUCCCCUGGGCCCGCCCCCGGGGCCAGCUCCCGGCCCAAACCUUCCACCUGCUUCCCAAAUAGGACUUCCCCCCUCCCCGUGAUGGGGUUUUUUGUCUUCAGUUCAGUUCAGUGGCUCAGUCGUGUCCGACUCUUUGCAACCCCGUGGACUGCAGCACGCCAGGCCUCCCUGUCCGUCACCAACUCCCGGAGUUCACCCAAACUCAUGUUCACUGAGUCGGUGAUGCCAUCCAACCAUCUCAUCCUCUGUCGUCCCCUUCUCCUCCCGCCUUCAAUCUUUCCCAGCAUCAGGGUCUUUUCCAAUGUUUCCUAUCAAUGGAAUCAUAUAGUAAAUGUCUUUUUGUGUCUUCCUGCAUCUUUGAAGAAAGACUAAUUUUUGUUUUAUGUCAUUAUUUGAAAAAAAAUUUUUUUUGAUCUGGAAGGGAAAUCCCAGCUAGAUUAAAGCACUAUGAGUAAAUUUGUGCAUAAUUUCAGGAUAGAGACCCCUGUACUGAGUGUGACACCAGAGUUAGAAGCCAUAAGGAAAACAGCUGACCGUUCCUGUGGCAAAAACAAACCAAAAAAAUGCAGAAAGUGGAAAGAUAAAUCACACACUGGAACAGCAUUCCUCACAUCUGUGCUAUCUGCUUGGUCGCUCAGGCAUGUCCAGCUCUUUGUGGCCUCGUGGACUGUAGCCCACCAGGCUCCUCCGUCCACGGGAUUCUCCAGGCAGGAAGAGUGGAGAGACGAAGAACACACACGUGCAACUCCAACAAGAGGCAACACGCACGGUCAGUACACGCCAGAGACGCACGACCUCCCCAAGAAGGACCCGAGAACGCAAGCGCGGAGACAGCGGUGCCACCGUCACACUGGGAUUCCAGUGACAAGCAGCCCUGGGGACAGUGUGCGGCCCAGCAGACCCCCUGGCGGGCAGUGCGGAAGGACACUCCUCUCUGGGAGAACCAUGUGUGGGACCCCAGAGCUCCACAGAUGCAUCCCUUUGCCUGCAGAGCGACUCCUAGGACCUCACCCACAGGAAACCUCACGUGAUUUUUUCAGAGAUGCAUUGUCAAGACUCUCCAUCAGUGCACUGGCUGAAAUAUCAGGGGACCGGAAACACUCAUGUCUGUGGAAAGGGAUGGGAUCCACCAGGCGUGGUCCUCAUGGACGAGAUCCCGGCUAUAAGACCACACGGACGUGAUGUCAACAGGGAGACUCAAACAGAGGUGAAUGAAUGCGUCUGUGAGAGGCAGAGAUAGAAGGAGAGAGGCAGCUGAGAGAUAAGCGUCAAACCACUUCACCAGGGUCAACACUGAGCGUGAUCAAUGUCUAGUCUUCUCCUUUACUUGGUAUUUGUGUGUUUUAGAAUGUGUAUAUUACUUUAACAAUUCUAAAAAGAUUGAAAACCAUUCUAAAGUUAUUCCUCUAUCACUCCUCUGUGGAGUAAUAUUAUUUAGUGCUUUUUCUGUUUGUUUUUGCAG